UACGUAGGGGGCGAGCGUUGUCCGGAUUUACUGGGCGUAAAGGGCGCGUAGGCGGCCCCGCAAGUCACUUGUGAAAUCUCUGGGCUUAACCCAGAACGGCCAAGUGAAACUGCAGGGCUAGAGUGUAGAAGGGGCAAUCGGAAUUCUUGGUGUAGCGGUGAAAUGCGUAGAUAUCAAGAGGAACACCUGAGGUGAAGACGGGUUGCUGGUCUAACACUGACGCUGAGGCGCGAAAGCCAGGGGAGCAAACGGG
rnacentral:rRNA from 1 species